UUCAUGCCACAGGGGCUCAGUCUAACACAACCUAGACCUGACUGUAUCUCUGACUCUCUGUCAGUCUCUCAAUUCAUGGCUUUAUUGGCAUGGGAACGUGUGUUACAUUGCCAAAGCAAGUGAGGUAGAUAAUAUAUAGAAAGUGAAUAUAAUAAAGUGAAAUAAACAAUAAAAAUUAACAGUAAACAUUACACAUACAGAAGUUUCAAAACAAUAAAGACAUCUCUCUCUCUAAAGUUUUCAGUUAAAUAGUGAUUUUUAUGACCAAUUUAAAGUUGUGUCACGUUGCAGUCUAGUUCCCAAAAAAUUAUUGUUUUUUAUUAACAGGAACUACAGAGGCCUCUCAUUGGCUCAUCUGACUUUCUGGUUCUGCAUUGUCCCGAUUUGGUAUGGCUUACCACAGCUUCCCUGCUCGAACCAAUCAGCUGCCACUCCUGGAACAAGGACCGGACCGUGAGUAGGACACUCUCUCUGUUGUCAAUAGGACUUCCUCACCUAAGAAGUAGAAUCACCAGAGGAAACCCAACUCAGAUGGUGUUGAACAGGAACUCACAAAGCUGAGUUGUAGUAAAGUUAUUUGAUAUUCAUUACAGGUAGUAUUGAAACACACCAAGACUUAAAACUGAUCCAAUUAGACAAAAAACACAGUCUGAUACGGGGGACUGUGAUGGCUCCCAUGUGGCUGGAGGUAUUUCCUGUUGUAGCGAGAGGGCGUGAUUGGCUCCCAUGUGGCUGGUGGUAUUUCCUGUUGUAGCGAGAGGGCUGUGAUUGCUCCCAUGUGGCUGGAGGUAUUUCCUGUUGUAGCGAGAGGGUGUGAUUGGCUCCCAUGUGGCUGGAGGUAUUUCCUGUUGUGCGGAGAGGGUGUGAUUGGCUCCCAUGUGGCUGGAGGUAUUUCCUGUUGUAGCGAGAGGGCUGUGAUUGGCUCCAUGUGGCUGGAGGUAUUUCCUGUUGUAGCGAGUAGGGCUGUGAUUGGCUCCCAUGUGGCCGAGGUUAUUUCCUGUUGUAGCGAGAGGGCUGUGAUUGGCUCCCAUGUGGCUGGAGGUAUUUCCUGUUGUAGCGAGAGGGGUGGAGUUCUGGGUCUCUCAGAGAGAGACGUCUGUGUUCUACAGAGCUCAGGAAACUAACUCAUAUUUUGGGCUGUUUCGAUUCUGAGUCUUCGGUUUCUGCUCAAAAUGGAUGGUGGGUCUGGGCAGAGCACACAGGACCACGCGCACGCACACACCACAGUGUGUGAGUCAUACAAACAGAAUAGGAGGUUGAACUGGCGGUUUUCAAUUCUGACACGAGAGAACACACUGAGGAGGCAGACAGACACGCUGAGAGGCAGACAGACACGCUGAGAGGCAGACAGACCCGCUGAGAGGCAGACAGACCCGCUGAGAGGCAGACAGACCGCCUGAGAGGCAGACAGACCCGCUGAGAGCAGACAGACCCGCUGAGAGGCAGACAGACCCGCUGAGAGGCAGACAGACACGCUGAGAGGCAGACAGACACGCUGAGAGGCAGACAGACACACAAUAGAUGUGAGAGGAGUGUGACCUUGCUUCCCCACGCUAUACUGUUGCAAACACACUACUCACACGAACCAACAGCCCUCUGAAUAUAUGUAUAUCCCUGUAGAGAUUGAUCUGAUGUAUAUAGUGUGAUCUCUCCCUAUAGAGAUUGAUCUGAUGUAUAUAGUGUGAUCUCUCCUAUAGAGAAUUGAUCUGAUGUAUAUAGUGUGAUUCUCCCUAUAGAGAUUGAUCUGAUGUUGUAGUGUGAUAUCUCCUUGU
ensembl:lncRNA